UUUUUUUGGAAUAUUUUAUUCAUAAAAAGCAUGGAAUAUACAAAAGAUAAUAAAAAUCUAAAAUUAAAGGAGACAUCGAUACAAACAGUGGUAUUUAAAAAAUUACCUAGAAACUAAACGAACGGAAGUAGCAACAUCAUGAAGAGGCAGUAACCGAAGAAUCAUCUCCAAAACUUCCGGCGGAAGCGUGUCCAAUGCAUAGCCAUGACAACUUUGUUCUGCUAACGGGGAUAUUUCUGAUUCUUUCCGCGAUCCCUGAUAUUGAUCGCAGCUUAUAAUUGGUAUUUUCGGUCGCUUGUUCGCGUUCAUUUAAAAUUAGAACAUUAAAAAAGAAUAUAGAGUUAAAACAAAUUUUCCCUUUGAUGUCGAUGCUACUUUGCGCUUCUUUGUGUUCCUUCUUUUUUCCUUUACGUCGCCAGUGAUCUGUUAAACAGUUAAUUAUAUAUUUUCUCGUUGCAACAUUACUCUUUUUCGUUAAUUAAAUGUUGCCUCUGGGUAAAAAUUUUAUAAAACUAGGAAUGUCGGACAAAACAAAACAAACGAUACGUGGCUAUCGUUUGUAAUCGAGUUCUUCUUUCGAUAAUUGUAUUACAAUUUUCUACACAGGGUGUUUCAAUCUUCGUAUCCUCUAACAUAGAUUCCGCUUGUACAAUGAAGAGGAUAGCUUGGUAGUUGUGCUUAUUGAAAACAACAGAUGUUUCUUUUGCGAUCAAUUUAUUAGAUUAUGUACAAGUUGUACGUCAUUUUAAAGUCGAGAUUGUCUUUGGUUUGUGUGUCGUUCCGAUAAAUGAAAAUUGAAAAUAAUAUACAGCUCUGUCGAUCAUUAGACACCGACAUAUAGGAUAGGAACUUAAAAUUACUUAAAUUACAUGUAAUCAAUUAUGUACUUUAUAAUUAAGCAUAGCAAUUUUUUUCGAGUAUACAAUAGUUGCAAUUGUAGUUGCAGUUGUCACAUUGAUUGUACAUCUUCGAAUUUUUACAAUUACAUUGUAAAAUAAAUUGAAGAGAUUAAAUG